UCCACCAUACGCUUAAUAAGCUCUGUGUCCCUUCAAUGCUGGUACUUUCCCAGACUCUUCACAUCCCACAGUCUUGGAGCUCCUGAUUUAAUGCACUGGGCUGGCUUUCCGUAUCAGCUGGUUCCGCAUCUGGGGAUUCAACCAACCUCCGAUCAAAAUUCAUUCUGUUGUUUGUGGAACUGCGGAUGCAGAACCCUCCGAUAUGGAGGGCCAAGUGUACUGCGCCAUUUCCUAUAAGGGACUUGAGCAUCCCUGUAUUCUGGUGUCCACAGUGGCUCAUGGAACCCAUCUCUAGAAGGUGGGGCUGAGAGGGAAAUGAACCUCUUCAGCGGCAUCAGCAGAGCUGGGGAAGCCAGGUGUCACUCACCGGCUCUCUUUCCCCCAAAGGGAGAAAUCGGGGACCAAGGAAGAUCUCUCGGCCCUGAACUCUGACACCUUGAAGAAGCGGUGAUGCAGGGUCCCAUCGAGGAUACCGCAUUGCAUUUAAUCAUAACAUCUCCUUAGUCUCCUCUGGAAUGUAAGCUUAAACAGUCAUUCUGGAAUUUCCUGGUCAGCAGUAGAGAG